rnacentral:rRNA from 1 species
UUGAUCCAGAGAUUUCCGAAUGGGGAAACCCAGCAUGAGUUAUGUCAUGUUAUCGAUAUGUGAAUACAUAGCAUAUCAGAAGGCACACCCGGAGAACUGAAACAUCUUAGUACCCGGAGGAAGAGAAAGAAAAUUCGAUUCCCUUAGUAGCGGCGAGCGAAACGGGAAGAGCCCAAACCAACAAGCUUGCUUGUUGGGGUUGUAGGACACUCUAUACGGAGUUACAAAGGACGACAUUAGACGAAUCAUCUGGAAAGAUGAAUCAAAGAAGGUAAUAAUCCUGUAGUCGAAAAUGUUGUCUCUCUUGAGUGGAUCCUGAGUACGACGGAGCACGUGAAAUUCCGUCGGAAUCUGGGAGGACCAUCUCCUAAGGCUAAAUACUCUCUAGUGACCGAUAGUGAACCAGUACCGUGAGGGAAAGGUGAAAAGCACCCCGGAAGGGGAGUGAAAUAGAACCUGAAACCGUGUGCUUACAAGUAGUCAGAGCCCGUUAAUGGGUGAUGGCGUGCCUUUUGUAGAAUGAACCGGCGAGUUACGAUUUGAUGCAAGGUUAAGCAGUAAAUGUGGAGCCGUAGCGAAAGCGAGUCUGAAUAGGGCGUUUAGUAUUUGGUCGUAGACCCGAAACCAGGUGAUCUACCCUUGGUCAGGUUGAAGUUCAGGUAACACUGAAUGGAGGACCGAACCGACUUACGUUGAAAAGUGAGCGGAUGAACUGAGGGUAGCGGAGAAAUUCCAAUCGAACCUGGAGAUAGCUGGUUCUCUCCGAAAUAGCUUUAGGGCUAGCCUCAAGUGAUGAUUAUUGGAGGUAGAGCACUGUUUGGACGAGGGGCCCCUCUCGGGUUACCGAAUUCAGACAAACUCCGAAUGCCAAUUAAUUUAACUUGGGAGUCAGAACAUGGGUGAUAAGGUCCGUGUUCGAAAGGGAAACAGCCCAGACCACCAGCUAAGGUCCCAAAAUAUAUGUUAAGUGGAAAAGGAUGUGGCGUUGCCCAGACAACUAGGAUGUUGGCUUAGAAGCAGCCAUCAUUUAAAGAGUGCGUAAUAGCUCACUAGUCGAGUGACACUGCGCCGAAAAUGUACCGGGGCUAAACAUAUUACCGAAGCUGUGGAUUGUCCUUUGGACAAUGGUAGGAGAGCGUUCUAAGGGCGUUGAAGCAUGAUCGUAAGGACAUGUGGAGCGCUUAGAAGUGAGAAUGCCGGUGUGAGUAGCGAAAGACGGGUGAGAAUCCCGUCCACCGAUUGACUAAGGUUUCCAGAGGAAGGCUCGUCCGCUCUGGGUUAGUCGGGUCCUAAGCUGAGGCCGACAGGCGUAGGCGAUGGAUAACAGGUUGAUAUUCCUGUACCACCUAUAAUCGUUUUA